UACGGGGGGGGUAAGCGUUGUUCGGAAUUACUGGGCGUAAAGGGCUCGUAGGCGGCCAACUAAGUCAGACGUGAAAUCCCUCAGCUUAACUGGGGAACUGCGUCUGAUACUGGAUGGCUUGAAUCCGGGAGAGGGAUGCGGAAUUCCAGGUGUAGCGGUGAAAUGCGUAGAUAUCUGGAGGAACACCGGUGGCGAAGGCGGCAUCCUGGACCGGCAUUGACGCUGAGGCGCGAAAGCCAGGGGAGCAAACGGG
rnacentral:rRNA from 1 species